UUGUGUGUAGCUCAGUGGUAGAACCUGUGCAUAGCAUGCACAAGAUUCUGGGUUCAAUCCCUAGCACAAAAA
rnacentral:tRNA from 2 species